GCCGAUCCGAUCCGUCUGACGAUC
rnacentral:siRNA from 1 species